UUUAUGUUUCGUCCCGAAAAAGAUCCGAAUCGUUUGUGAAUCGCAUCACUGUUAGAAAUCCAAGAGAAGAGAUCCUCUUCCCUUAACAUCAUCAGAGGAAAAAUCUGCUUCUUAAUCAAUUAGUUUCAGCGUUUGUACCUCUCUCUCUGGAUCCAUGUCAUCCUACAGUCUCUUCUCGAGCAAGGCGUGGUGAGACACUUUACACAAGAUUUACCUGUAAUUCAUAACGUGCUCUGUGACCUUCUCCCUCCCUCGGGACUCUAUGGUCUGUGUGUUCUGGUAUCUGCUGAGUCACCAGAAAUCUGCCAAGACACUGACACUUGCGCCUGCUCCAACAUCUGGCGCAUAAGGGCUUUAAGGUUUCCAGAACCAAGCUGCAAUAUUGUAUGGACACUUAAGUAUUUGAACUUUUGAAGUUUUGAACUUUCUCAAGGCUGUCAUUCUAGACACAAAACCUCCUCCACUGCAACAUCCUUUGACCUGGACUGACGCUAUGGUGGUCGCUUAUCACUCCCUCAGAAGCACCCUUUGUUCCGCCCCUGGGUUACCUGCUCACUUCAAGCCCUUCCACCUCUAUGCCUGUGGACACCGGGGCACGGCCUCUGGGGAACAUGAGGGGGGGAAAAUGCAUCAUUGUGCGUUUUUAUCCAAAACAUUAGACAUUGUUGCUCAAGGCUUACCUGUGUGUCUGGGGGCUGUCUCCGCAUGUGCUUUAAUGGUUUUAGAUGCGGAAAAAUUGGUUUUUGUCUCACCCAUUGAUCUUGCACUCGUCACAUCAGGUUAAACAGGUGUUGCAAAAUUUACAGACCCAUUAAAUUAAUUCAUCAGUAAUAGGGCUCUCUAGGGAUCUUUGUUGAUGGUUCUUGUUCUAAACCCUCAGACAGUUCUUGUUUUAUAAUUUUAUCACUCU